AAGAAUGUGGGAGAACAAGAAGCAGAGAUUCUGCUUUCCCGGGCAACUUGGUUGACAACUUGAGAUGGCUUUCUUGGGAUUUUUAUUUUUCCCCUCUCUCUCCCAAAGAUCAGGAAAGGCUUUGUUUAUCUUGCAGGUACGAUUUAAAAGAUGACAAAAGCAGCUCCUAGUUUCCAUAGUGCCUCCACGAUCCAAGGACUUGAGUUGGCACCCUUACCACCACCACUGCUGCCGCCAUCCUUCACUGCAAGAUUCCAGGCUCAUCUUCCGCUGGAUGGGCUUCUUCAGUGUUUUUUGCUUUCUCAAGCAAUCGUAGAAUUGUGUUUCUUAAAUCUUCUUUUUUCCCGUGCGGAACCAAUAGGGGUAGAGAAAUCGCCCCCGAUUGGAUGUUUUUUUGAAGGGAAGAUAGACACGUUCUGCAUUCACUUUGCAUGCUUCUCUUAGCACUGAAAACCAUACGCUGCCUUUCUUUUGACCAAAGAAAUGGGCUCUUUUCAUUUUCAUUUUUUAAAAAAAAUUUUCUCUUGGGGAUGGUGUUCCUUAUAGCUGUUGUGUAAAGCAAGCUGUUGCUUUCAGCAGCUAAAAAGACCCAAGGGCUGCCUAAAGUGAAGUUGGGGCAUUAGGUGAAAAGAUACAAGGAAGACCACCUGGAGGGUCCAAGUAUUUCUCCUAGAAGAUGAUGGGCAAAUGACCUCCUUUGAAACAAAGGUUUUCAAAUAGGGCCAGGGCCGUCUUCAAAUAGGAGAAGGAUCAGUUAUUUAGAAAGGGACCAUAGUGGUGAUAAAGGAGAUUAGGGUUCUUGUCCUAACUGUCCUAGUAAGGUUGUCAGAUGCCAUUUUCUGGAACAAGGGAACAAGAAAAGUGGAGAAAUGCAGUGGGGAAACAAUUAUUUGCAAUGUUUAUAUUUUUCCCACAUUGGGGGAAUCCAUGCCUGAGCACUAUGCAUUUAGCUGACACUCCAAGUGGGAUAUCCCAUCCCAUCUCUGCAAAUCCUCAUGAACUGUGAUAGCAGGUGAUAAUCUUACCAUGCCUUUCUUGUUCUUUCUGCUUCCUGAAUUUUUAAAAUUGAAUCCGUUUGUGUUUUCUUCUCGGCUUGUUGCCCACUCUGUGCAGCCAAUCUAAAAGGGCAGAUUGCUUUCAUAGAGUUAUCUUUAUGGAUGCAGUUGCUCUAGUUGCUGUUUUUAACAUGAAUGUUGUUUGGUGCCUUCUUGCAUUCAGGACUUUGAUCUGGUGCUGAGAGCAAAGCUCUCCAGCUACACCAAGUUCUAGGACGGUGUGCAUGCUGUAGCAAGGAAAUUCUUAAUCUGUGCUCCAAAACAGAUUUACAAAGCCUGUCUACCUAUAUACAGUGAUAUUUGCAUGAUCUGCAUUUUGAUGACUUCCUUUGUACAGUAAGGAGAAAGAUCGGUACAGAAACUGUGAGGAGAUGAUGCUUCAAGGAACCACAAAAAUCACAAGAAACGAGAUGGCCAGAAAAGACUUGUGCUGAUUUCCAAGUUAUAUGGCAUGAUUUUUCUUAACUAGCAUGGAUAAAUUUUUAAGAUUUGCUACUGGGCUUUCCACAUAUAUAAAACUAAAGCAUUUUAACUUGUUUUUCCCCACUGAUAAAUCACUGCUUGCAAAAUUGCAACACUGCACCAUACAAUGCCACUUUGGCAGGGAUGGCGGCUGAGUUGAAUUCCUCUUUAAAAUAAAAUUUUAAAAAAACAACUAUUUUUAUCCCACUCAUACAACCAUUCUCCUCUGGUGGGGAAAAUCAGCUGCAUUGGGGUUGGCUUUAUAGAAGUUUGUUUUUUGUGGUCUUGUUAUGAAAAGGAACAUAACCAUGUGUUCUGUUUUAGAAUGAAUUUUAAAAAUCAUAGCUCGUAGCCCUUAGAAGCCAAAUCCCACUAAGACGCCUGAUGGUAGAAGUUGAAUUCUUCUCCUGUUCUGGGUCUUACAAGGUGGAGCUGGUGGGCGACUCUGGAAAGCAAGAAAAGAUGGACUUCCCAAAGCAUCUCCUUGGCUGUCCUAUCUUGAUGUUCUGUUCCACUGAGCAGAUUCUCUCCCAAUUACCCCCACACACAUACACACACUGUCAAAUUCCCAAUCGCUCUCCAUGCAUUUCUUCUAUUCGCACACCGUUGCCUCUCAUUUCUUGGGGGGAAAAAGAACCCCAAGGCCGCUCUUUGUAAUUUAUAAAUAGAUUUUUAAAAAUUGCUUGUAUCUCUUUGUACAAUCAUAGCGAAUGUAUCGGACACAACAACUACACCUCUCCACUGGAUCUGGUGGUGCCGCCCCCACAGGUUUGCUGGCAGAGUCUGCCUGUUGGGGGUUGAAUCACCCACUGCCUUCCAUCAUGCCAAACGGAGCUUGCCGUCUUCUUCAAGCAGGCUUUACCAUGCAAGCGUGUUGCUGGCUUUUUGUGCCUCUCAUAGCCACUGCUGUAAUUUGUUGUAGCAAAUAAACAAAGAGGAAAAUGUGA